GACGAACGCUGGCGGCGUGGAUUAGGCAUGCAAGUCGAACGCGAACGAUUUCCUUCGGGAGAUUCAGUAGAGUGGCGGACGGGUGAGUAACGCGUAGAUGAUCUACCUUUAAGUGGGGGAUAGCCCCGGGAAACCGGGAUUAAUACCGCAUGUGGAGCUUCGGUUCUAAAGAUGGCCUCUGUUUCAAGCUGUCGCUUAAAGAUGAGUCUGCGUCCUAUUAGCUAGUUGGUGAGGUAAUGGCUCACCAAGGCGAUGAUAGGUAGGCGGCCUUAACGGGUGGUCGCCCACACUGGGAUUGAGAUACGGCCCAGACUCCUACGGGAGGCAGCAGUCGAGAAUAGUCUACAAUGGAGGAAACUCUGAUAGUGCGACGCCGCGUGGAUGAAGAAGCAUUUCGGUGUGUAAAAUCCUUUUCUUUGUGAGCAAUGGCCUGCACAUUAAUAGUGUUCAGGACGAGA
rnacentral:rRNA from 1 species